rnacentral:lncRNA from 1 species
CCAGGAACAAUCACUGUUAAUACCAAAAAAUAUUUUCCACCAUUUUUUUCUAUUUAUAAAUCAAAAUUAUAUUCACGUGGCAUAAAAAGUUUUCAUCCUCCCCAAAUUUCCUUUCUCAGAAGUAUUUACCUCAUCUUUAAAUAACAUAUUUGUGUUUCUUCUUGUUUUAUAAAUUUUAGGCAUUGUCUGUAGACUUCCCAUUAUGGAAAAUGGCAGAGAAGUUAGCUCUGCCCCUCUACCAUGUAUAUGUAUAUAUCUCAUCUCCCAUCUUCUCCAUAGAGAUUUUGGUUGAUUAACAUGCUGUGCUUACAUUAUUAUAUUGCAUAUGCUAUUUGGAGAUGAGAUUCAAAGCUGAGAUAUAUGGCUUACUAUGAUUAGUCUUUUUUCUUUCUUUCUUUCUUUCUUUUUUUUUUUUGAGACAGAGUUUCGCUCUUGUCGCCCAGGCUGGAUUGCAAUGGCGAUCUUGGCUCACUUUAACCUCCGCCUCCCAGGUUAAAGCGAUUCUCCUGCCUCAGCCUCCCAAGUAGCUGGGAUUACAGGUGCCUGCCACUAUGCCUGGCUAAUUUUUUGUAUUUUUAGUAGAGACAGGGUUUCACCAUGUUGCCCAGGCUAGUCUGGAACUCCUAGCCUCGGGUGAUCCACCCACCUCGGCCUCCCAAAGUGUU